rnacentral:rRNA from 1 species
UACGGAGGGUGCAAACGUUGCUCGGAAUCAUUGGGCGUAAAGCGCACGUAGGCGGUCGGCUAUGUCGGAUGUGAAAGCCUCGGGCUUAACCCGAGAAGGGCAUCCGAAACUGGCCGGCUUGAGUACGGAAGAGGGUCUCGGAAUUCCCGGUGUAGAGGUGAAAUUCGUAGAUAUCGGGAGGAACACCAGUGGCGAAGGCGGAGACCUGGGCCGAUACUGACGCUGAGGCACGAAAGCGUGGGGAGCAAACAGG